UACGGAGGAGGCAAGCGUUAUCCGGAAUUAAUGGGCGUAAAGCGUCCGCAGGUGGCACUUCAAGUCUGUCGUCAAAGACUGGGGCUUAACCCUGGAAAGGCGGUGGAAACUGAAGCGCUAGAGUGCGGUAGGGGUAGAGGGAAUUCCCGGUGUAGCGGUGAAAUGCGUAGAGAUGUGGAGGAACACCAAUGGCGAAGGCAGCCUUCUGGGCCAACACUGACGCUCAUGCACGAAAGCGUGGGGAGCAAACAGG
rnacentral:rRNA from 1 species